UUUUUAUUUAUAAAAUUGUACUUCCGUGAAAAAUUGUGAGGGCUGCUUUCGGUUUAUAUAUAUAUAUAUAUAUAUAUAUAUAUAUAGACUAUUGCUAAUGACUCACUCUGAUUCUCAAUCCCCAAGCCACACGAGUCUUUUUUUUUUUUUUUUCCUCCUAACCCUAACCCUCGCCGCUCUCCCUCUCAAUCAAAAGCCAAAAACCCUAAAUCAGGAAUAGAAACAGAAAGCUAGUUAUGAAUCAAACCCUAAAUCAGGAAUAGAAACAGAAAGCUAGUUAUGAAUCAAGAACGAGUGAUCCUCUUCUGCGGGCAUAUGUGUGAUGAACCUUUCGUCUACUCAAAAGAUGAUGAUUAUGGCAAGACUAUGAUGUCUUGGUUUACUAUGUUGUCUCCAGAGAUCCGUGCUGGACCAUCAUCUUCGGUUAUUUUGUCUUCUGCUUCAUCAUCUUCUUCUUUGAGAAAGCGAAAGAGAAAUACUCCUCCUACUCUUUCUGGGCAUUUUUAUCUUCAUUUUUCACGACGGAGUCAACAAAAUACCGGCGAUUGGAAGCUUGCUCUGCUGAUGAAGCAUCCUAGAAAAUCCCCUCAUAUCAUUGUCCUAGAUGGUAAGUUAUAUAUUAUAGGUGGUUUAAAAUAUCCUAUUAAUGGUUUAAAAUAUUCAUUACUUGCCUUUAUAGAGGUUUUUGAUCCUGAUAUUGGAACUUGGGAAUCUUUGCCUAAUCCUCUAUUUAUGAGCCCAAAUCCUCCAUUUAUGAAUCCACUCUAUCAACCUAGGGAGAUGGUGACUGCCCUUCUUAAAAAGAGACCAAAUAUAUCUGUUUUUAAGAAGGGUGGUCACCAUCUCCCUAGGUUGAUAGAGUGGAUUCAUAAAUGGAGGAUUUGGGCUCAUAAAUGGAGAUUAGGCAAGGAUUCCCAAGUUCCAAUAUCAGGGUCAAAAACCUCUAUAAAGGCAGGUAAUGGAUAUUUUAAAGCACCUAUAGGAUAUUUUAAAUCACCUAUAACAUAUAACUUACCAUCCAGGACAAUGAUGUGAGGGGAUUUUCUAGGAUGCUUCAUCCGCGGGGUGAGCUUCCAAUCGCCGCCGUUGCUGGAGUUCUUGAAACGCCUACUUCAAACGUCGGUCUGCAUCUUCGUAUUCUGUGGUUCUUGAAGAUGCAAUGUUAGUGGAUAUUACAUUUCAUCCAUCAAAUAUGCUGGCCUUGAGGUAUAUUAUCUAUUCCUUUCUUUUGUUCCUUCAAAUAUAUUGUUUUAUUGCUUUAUUCAAGGUGUUGCAAUAAUGUUGCUUAUCGGGUUCAAUGAGUCAAUGCUAAAAGAAUUUGGGAUGACCCGACCUCUAAGGUGGAGUGUGAUGAACUCCUACAGCAGCAUGCUAAACGAAUUACGAAUUUGGGAUGACCCAACAGGAUUGUGGCAUGUGCUUCUAGGCUUUGAUUAUUUGUUUUCUACAUGUGAGAGUUGUAGAGUGUAGAGCUCAUAAUGUUCGAAUACACAUACUAAAGCAGAAAUCUCUCUCUCCCUCUCAAGAAAGUAAAACCAUUUAUGUUUUCUUUUUCAAAAUCCCAUUUUUUUAACACAUUGCUGAAAGUUUUGUUAAGCAUAACAAUGUGGUUUUUUUCAAGCUUUCUUUGCACUGUUGCGCUUUGGAAUGUACUUCUUUGCACUAUUGCUGCUUACUUCAAUUGUAUUUCUUAAAUAUGCAUUGUACAUAUUUUGUAGUCUGCCUUGUGUACAUAUUAAUGCUUUGAAAGUCAUCCAAUAGGAAGCCUUCUGUCCAAGCUGGUUGAGCUAAAAUAAUGGUCAUGGACAAACAUUUUGUAACUAAAGAAGUAUGAUGACUUAUCAAUGAGCAAAAAAUCUUAUGCA